CCUACGGGAGGCAGCAGUGGGGAAUCUUGGGCAAUGGGCGAAAGCCUGACCCAGCAACGCCGCGUGAGGGACGAAGGCUUUCUGAGUUGUAAACCUCUUUCGGUAGGAACGAUUGUGACGGUACCUACAGAAGAAGCACCGGCCAACUAUGUGCCAGCAGCCGCGGUGAUACAUAGGGUGCAAGCGUUAUUCGGAUUUAUUGGGCGUAAAGAGCUCGUAGGCGGUUCGAUCAGUCGGGUGUGAAACCCCCAGGCUUAACCUGGGGCAGCCACUCGAAACUGUCGUGACUAGAGUUUGGUAGGGGAUCACGGAAUUCCUGGUGUAGCGGUGGAAUGCGCAGAUAUCAGGAGGAACACCAGCAGCGAAGGCGGUGAUCUGGGCCAAUACUGACGCUGAGGAGCGAAAGCGUGGGGAGCGAACAGGAUUAGAUACCCUAGUAGUC
rnacentral:rRNA from 1 species